UUCCAGACUCCUACGGGAGGCAGCAGUGGGGAAUAUUGCACAAUGGGGAGAACCCUGAUGCAGCGACGCCGCGUGGGUGAAGGAGCACCUCGGUGCGUAAAGCCCUAUCGGCAGGGAAGAAACAGACGGUACCUGACUAAGAAGCCCCGGCUAACUACGUGCCAGCAGCCGCGGUAAUACGUAGGUGGCAAGCGUUGUCCGGAUUUACUGGGUGUAAAGGGCGUGUAGCCGGGCUGACAAGUCAGAUGUGAAAUCCGGGGGCUCAACCCCCGAACUGCAUUUGAAACUGUUGGUCUUGAGUAUCGGAGAGGCAGGCGGAAUUCCUAGUGUAGCGGUGAAAUGCGUAGAUAUCAGGAGGAACACCGGUGGCGAAGGCGGCCUGCUGGACGAUGACUGACGUUGAGGCUCGAAAGCGUGGGGAGCAAACAGGAUUAGAUACCCCGGUAAAA
rnacentral:rRNA from 1 species